rnacentral:rRNA from 1 species
UACGUAGGGUGCAAGCGUUAUCCGGAAUUAUUGGGCGUAAAGCGUGCGCAGGCGGUUAUGUAAGACAGUUGUGAAAUCCCCGGGCUCAACCUGGGAACUGCAUCUGUGACUGCAUAGCUAGAGUACGGUAGAGGGGAUGGAAUUCCGCGUGUAGCAGUGAAAUGCGUAGAUAUGCGGAGGAACACCGAUGGCGAAGGCAAUCCCCUGGGCCUGCACUGACGCUCAUGCACGAAAGCGUGGGGAGCAAACAGG